UGCGCUUGCGAUUUCGUCAAGUUCCUCCACUAGCUACACCCAUCUUGCAACAACCGCAUCCCAAUUUUAUUUGAACUGUGCUAUACUUUGCCAUACUAUGCAUUCCGAUUGUACUGCCUAUUUGAACUGUGCUAUAAUGCAAAGGAAGAAGCUAUCAGGGAUUCAGGGCCUAACAAAUACAUAAAUGGGAAAAUUAUGUAUGUAUUUUCUAAUUUACUUAUAUAUGUAGUUAAGUAGAUUGGUACUUUUAUUGUUGAUAAUUUGAUACCUGCUGCUAUGUUACUGAAUACUCUCAAGUUUUAAUAAUAAAUUGAUUCAUAGUUGGUUUUUUGUGUGCAAAUUCUGGACUUGGAGAAGGAGAACUCGAGAAUGCGGAGGGGCGUCGCCAGGACCGUGGGACGGCGGCGCGACGGGAGGAUGACCGGGUGCGGCGACGCGAGGGAGGACAGGCAUCGCGAGGACCAGGUGACGGCGGCGCAGUGGGACGGGUAACUCGGUGGGGGUGGUGGGCUCGGAACGCGAGGAGGUGGCUGGGGAGGGGCGCACGGUGGCGGGGCGGGUCGGCAUGGCUCUGGCGAGCAAUCCGGCUACCUAUUCUCUAGACUAGAUUUCUGCUACUACCUCUUUUGUGAUUUAGUUUAGCAGGAAACUAAUAUGCUUAUGGCUAUUAUCAAGAUAUAAGGAUAACAGGGAAUUUUUUUCAGUUCUUGCAAGGUUAUUAUUUCUAUUGCGUGUCUAACAUUAUUAUUGGGGUUUGCUUGCACAAAUUCUUGGAACAUCAUUAAAUUAUGAUUAUUUUACAGGUGAUGGCGAGGGUAGUAAUGCACAGCAGCAGAGCAACGGCGGCGAGGGGAAUGCUUCAAUCUAGAGAUCAGGUUUCUGCUUGUACAUGCUUUUGUUGGAGAAUAAUCAAAGUCGUGCCAUGUUGUUGCUUUUGUCAGGCUUGUUUAUGAUAUGUAGUUCUGUUAAGCUGUGUACUUAUCUCUCUCAUUUGAUCAAGUUGACAAAAAGAGAUUGAUGUAACGCACUUGUUUUGGACUAUAGAUCAUGUGUUGGUUUUUGUA